rnacentral:rRNA from 1 species
CGGACCCUUCGGGGUUAGUGGCGGACGGGUGAGUAACACGUGGGAACGUGCCUUUUGGUUCGGAAUAGCUCCUGGAAACGGGUGGUAAUGCCGAAUGUGCCCUUCGGGGGAAAGAUUUAUCGCCAUUAGAGCGGCCCGCGUCUGAUUAGCUAGUUGGUGAGGUAAAGGCUCACCAAGGCUACGAUCAGUAGCUGGUCUGAGAGGAUGACCAGCCACAUUGGGACUGAGACACGGCCCAAACUCCUACGGGAGGCAGCAGUGGGGAAUCUUGCGCAAUGGGCGAAAGCCUGACGCAGCCAUGCCGCGUGAAUGAUGAAGGUCUUAGGAUUGUAAAAUUCUUUCACCGGGGACGAUAAUGACGGUACCCGGAGAAGAAGCCCCGGCUAACUUCGUGCCAGCAGCCGCGGUAAUACGAAGGGGGCUAGCGUUGCUCGGAAUUACUGGGCGUAAAGGGAGCGUAGGCGGACAUUUAAGUCAGGGGUGAAAUCCCAGAGCUCAACUCUGGAACUGCCUUUGAUACUGGAUGUCUUGAGUGUGAGAGAGGUAUGUGGAACUCCGAGUGUAGAGGUGAAAUUCGUAGAUAUUCGGAAGAACACCAGUGGCGAAGGCGACAUACUGGCUCAUUACUGACGCUGAGGCUCGAAAGCGUGGGGAGCAAACAGGA